rnacentral:pre_miRNA from 1 species
AAUCUAGGAGGCAGGUGCUCACUUGUCCUCUUCCAUGCUUGAAAGAUACAGGGAGGAGGCCAUAGUGGCAACUGUCACCAUGAUU